rnacentral:rRNA from 1 species
GACGAACGCUGGCGGCGUGCCUAAUACAUGCAAGUAGGACGCAGUUGCGACCGGGUGAGUAACGCGUAGGUAACUACCUAUUAGUGGGGGAUAACUAUUUGCAACGAUAGCUAAUACCGCAUACUAGUAGAUGGACCUGCGUUGUAUUAGCUAGUAGGUAGGGGAAUGGCCUACCUAGGCCACGAUACAUAGCCGACCUGGGAGGGUGAUCGGCCAAAAUGGGACUGAGAAACGGCCCAGACUCCUACGGGAGGCAGCAGUAGGGAAUCUUCGGCAAUGGGGGGAACCCGGACAGAGCAAAGACGCGUGAGGGAAGAAGGUUUUCGGAUCGUAAAGCUCUGUUGUUAAGGAAGCGGUACUUAACCAGAAAGGGACGGCUAACUACGUGCCAGCAGCAGCGGUAAUAC